UACGUAGGCAGCGAGCGUUGUUCGGAGUUACUGGGCGUAAAGCGUGCGUAGGCGGUUGUCUAAGUUUGGUGUGAAAUCUCCCGGCUUAACUGGGAGGGUGCGCCGAAAACUGGGUGACUGGAGUGUCGGAGAGGUAAGCGGAAUUCCUGGUGUAGCGGUGAAAUGCGUAGAGAUCAGGAGGAACACCUGUGGUGUAGACAGCUUACUGGACGAUAACUGACGCUGAGGCGCGAAAGCGUGGGGAGCAAACAGG
rnacentral:rRNA from 1 species